UUUCCGUAGGUGAACCUGCGGAAGGAUCAUUACCUAGAGUUGUAGGCUUUGCCUGCUAUCUCUUACCGAUGUCUUUUGAGUACCUUCGUUUCCUCGGUGGGUUCGCCCGCCGAUUGGACAAAACUUAAACCCUUUGUAGUUGCAAUCAGCGUCUGAAAAAACUUAAUAGUUACAACUUUCAACAACGGAUCUCUUGGCUCCCACAUCGAUGAAGAACGCAGC
rnacentral:misc_RNA from 1 species